UAGGUAGAAUAAGUAUUGUAUGGGAAAUCUAGUAUUUGUUAAGUUAUCCGAUCUCGAUGGAUUUCUUGGCCCUUGAAGUGCGGGCCUACUAAUAUCGGAAUUGUGAAUGCCGCCAAAAAUGUGCUUCUCAUUGUCUUGUGAAUUGUAGGAGGGCACACUGCGAAUAAAACGUCAACCACGACCGCGCGUACGCCAGGCGCACGCCGCCCUUGAAGUAUCCCUCUCUUCGGACCUACGCGUGUGGGGUAGUCGUUUAAGGCAACUCCAUAUGAAGCAAGACAACUCCUUUUAUUCGCAGCCCUAGGGACCUGCAAGGGCAACUUGCGCUGGAGGACGACUUGGCGACCAGCUAGAGAGUUGCCAGGAGCAUUCCCGUACCAGUAGAGGAGUCGCAGACAGCGACAUAGAGGAGCGCAGACAGCGCCGAACACUGGGUACGCAGCAUUCCCCCAAGAGGAGUUCGCGGCUGAGAGGAGGGGACGCCACCCCUACAGCAGCGCGAGCGGAUCCGCAGCCAGCGAGUAGUGGAGCAGAAAACCGGCCGCGGCGGCGGACAUUUCUAGCCCAGCCACUACGGUGACUACAGUAGCGUCCCAACUCAGGAGUACUGCUGUCACAGCUGCGAGUUCAGAGCCGGAGAUGUGCCAGCCCCUCACGUCGGACCUUUUGAAAAGGAUUGUGGCUUUGGAGGAGGAGCUGAAGCAGGUUAAAACCCUGAACGGUGACAUCAAGGAGAUGUUCCACCAAGUGCUGAUCCGACCCUAGGAUCGGUGUUCCCAACGAUUCCUUUGGAGAGAUGGCAACGACGAUCGAGACCCGGAUGUGUACGAGAUGAACGUAAUGACGUUUGGAGCAGCCUGCUCGCCGAGCGCUGCGCAUUACGUAAAGACUGUGAAUGCCCUGAAGUCAGCGAAGAAGCAUCAGUGAGCCAACUGGCGAAGGCCAGCUAUUGCAGCCACGGACGGAAACAUCCCAAAUACAAAUUGUAAAAUUAAGCGGAACGCUUUUCUGCCCGAUAGCAGUAUAGCCCGGAAAGCUAUAUGGAAAAAAAAGAAUGGGGCUAAGCCCCAAUUAAAAUCAAUCCCAAAUUUUAAAUUUAAAAAAACCUAAAUACAGGAAAUAAUAUAAUAUUAUAAGCAAAUUCGAAGAUUUUGAUGUACAAGAUAGAACCAUGAUGGGGUUGAUUGAAGGUAAAACAGUGGACUUCACUGCAAAUGUAAUUAACAACAUUGAAUCUACCAAUGUCGAUCCUUAUUUGACGAAUAUAUUUUUAUUAAUAUUAGUUGUUUAUUUUGUCUUUACAAAGACUUAUCUUACACAAAAGGUGUAUAACUAAAUGGGCUUUAAGCCAAGCUAACGAUCUAGACAAGAUCUAAUUUUAUCAAACCACAAACAAUUGUGUUAAAAAUAUAUUCGAAAAAAAAAAAAAUCUCUUUACUCGUACGUACAAGAAGCGUAAAUUAAUGAGCAAAAUUAAUUGACUAUCAGAAAUCACAGAAAAUGAGAUUAAAAAAAAUUAAAACUAAAAAAUCAAAAAAUAAACAUAAUUGAUUUUACAAAUAAAAAAUUUCAAUUUACUAAAAAAUGUAUUAAACAAAGCUAUAAAUAUGAACACUCAAGAGUGUAUAAGAAUUUCGUUAGAUAGGGAACCAGAUUUUGAGAAUGGGGUAUUAUCGAUAGUCAGAAAAAAAGAAAAGACUUUUUCAUAAGUAUAUGGAUAAGCCCAACUUAACUUUUUCCCCCCUUAUCCAUUGCAAUAGAACUCAGAAGGUAAUGGUACUAUCUACUAUUAGAAAGUGGAAAAUAUUUUCUGAAAUAAAUACAAACCCAAAGGAAUAAAAUCAAAAAAUAAUAAUUACAAUAAAUAUUUAGUAUGGAAUGGGAGCAACUAACUCUCCAUACCCGAGAAAUCAAAGAAACUUUUGACAAGUAAAAGACGCAAUAGACAAUAUAUUGCCAGGCGAGGUAGCUGCCCAAAUUCGAUAGGAAGAAAAUUCAUCUCCAACGAUUCAUCACGGCAAUAAAAUUGGUCAAUAUAAAGGACCAAAUGAAGAAAACAGGUAAUUAAAUCAAAAAUAAUCCUUCUAUUAUGUAAAUUGCAAGAAACAUCAUAUAUCGACCAAGGAUUAAAUGCUGAACAUGUUUACAAAUUCAGGCAAAAAAAGUUAUAUCCACUUUGAUAAAGAUAUGCAAAAGCGGAAAAACUAAACAAAAUUUUGAAGCUAGCUCAUUUAGUAGUAUGAAUGACACUAUAACACUGACAUAUGUAACACUGCAGUAAUCAAGAAACAAAUAUUCACAGUGUAAUGUAUACAAAUAACCGAAGUAGUUAUUAUAGAGGCAAUUGCAGAGUAAACUAUCGCGGUAACCACUAUAUCCAAUUCUAGUAAUACUUUUGUCCGCAUUUUAAACGCAACCGAUACCAAUAAAAUUAUAAACAUUUCU